rnacentral:misc_RNA from 1 species
CAAACUGUCAGUGAUGACGGCUUGGGUUUCUAAGCAUUGUUA